GGGUUGUGAGGUUAAGCGACUAAGCGUACACGGUGGAUGCCCUGGCAGUCAGAGGCGAUGAAGGACGUGCUAAUCUGCGAUAAGCGUCGGUAAGGUGAUAUGAACCGUUAUAACCGGCGAUUUCCGAAUGGGGAAACCCAGUGUGAUUCGUCACACUAUCAUUAACUGAAUCCAUAGGUUAAUGAGGCGAACCGGGGGAACUGAAACAUCUAAGUACCCCGAGGAAAAGAAAUCAACCGAGAUUCCCCCAGUAGCGGCGAGCGAACGGGGAGCAGCCCAGAGCCUGAAUCAGUGUGUGUGUUAGUGGAAGCGUCUGGAAAGGCGCGCGAUACAGGGUGACAGCCCCGUACACAAAAAUGCACAUGCUGUGAGCUCGAUGAGUAGGGCGGGACACGUGGUAUCCUGUCUGAAUAUGGGGGGACCAUCCUCCAAGGCUAAAUACUCCUGACUGACCGAUAGUGAACCAGUACCGUGAGGGAAAGGCGAAAAGAACCCCGGCGAGGGGAGUGAAAAAGAACCUGAAACCGUGUACGUACAAGCAGUGGGAGCACGCUUAGGCGUGUGACUGCGUACCUUUUGUAUAAUGGGUCAGCGACUUAUAUUCUGUAGCAAGGUUAACCGAAUAGGGGAGCCGAAGGGAAACCGAGUCUUAACUGGGCGUUAAGUUGCAGGGUAUAGACCCGAAACCCGGUGAUCUAGCCAUGGGCAGGUUGAAGGUUGGGUAACACUAACUGGAGGACCGAACCGACUAAUGUUGAAAAAUUAGCGGAUGACUUGUGGCUGGGGGUGAAAGGCCAAUCAAACCGGGAGAUAGCUGGUUCUCCCCGAAAGCUAUUUAGGUAGCGCCUCGUGAAUUCAUCUCCGGGGGUAGAGCACUGUUUCGGCAAGGGGGUCAUCCCGACUUACCAACCCGAUGCAAACUGCGAAUACCGGAGAAUGUUAUCACGGGAGACACACGGCGGGUGCUAACGUCCGUCGUGAAGAGGGAAACAACCCAGACCGCCAGCUAAGGUCCCAAAGUCAUGGUUAAGUGGGAAACGAUGUGGGAAGGCCCAGACAGCCAGGAUGUUGGCUUAGAAGCAGCCAUCAUUUAAAGAAAGCGUAAUAGCUCACUGGUCGAGUCGGCCUGCGCGGAAGAUGUAACGGGGCUAAACCAUGCACCGAAGCUGCGGCAGCGACGCUUAUGCGUUGUUGGGUAGGGGAGCGUUCUGUAAGCCUGCGAAGGUGUGCUGUGAGGCAUGCUGGAGGUAUCAGAAGUGCGAAUGCUGACAUAAGUAACGAUAAAGCGGGUGAAAAGCCCGCUCGCCGGAAGACCAAGGGUUCCUGUCCAACGUUAAUCGGGGCAGGGUGAGUCGACCCCUAAGGCGAGGCCGAAAGGCGUAGUCGAUGGGAAACAGGUUAAUAUUCCUGUACUUGGUGUUACUGCGAAGGGGGGACGGAGAAGGCUAUGUUGGCCGGGCGACGGUUGUCCCGGUUUAAGCGUGUAGGCUGGUUUUCCAGGCAAAUCCGGAAAAUCAAGGCUGAGGCGUGAUGACGAGGCACUACGGUGCUGAAGCAACAAAUGCCCUGCUUCCAGGAAAAGCCUCUAAGCAUCAGGUAACAUCAAAUCGUACCCCAAACCGACACAGGUGGUCAGGUAGAGAAUACCAAGGCGCUUGAGAGAACUCGGGUGAAGGAACUAGGCAAAAUGGUGCCGUAACUUCGGGAGAAGGCACGCUGAUAUGUAGGUGAAGUCCCUCGCGGAUGGAGCUGAAAUCAGUCGAAGAUACCAGCUGGCUGCAACUGUUUAUUAAAAACACAGCACUGUGCAAACACGAAAGUGGACGUAUACGGUGUGACGCCUGCCCGGUGCCGGAAGGUUAAUUGAUGGGGUUAGCGCAAGCGAAGCUCUUGAUCGAAGCCCCGGUAAACGGCGGCCGUAACUAUAACGGUCCUAAGGUAGCGAAAUUCCUUGUCGGGUAAGUUCCGACCUGCACGAAUGGCGUAAUGAUGGCCAGGCUGUCUCCACCCGAGACUCAGUGAAAUUGAACUCGCUGUGAAGAUGCAGUGUACCCGCGGCAAGACGGAAAGACCCCGUGAACCUUUACUAUAGCUUGACACUGAACAUUGAGCCUUGAUGUGUAGGAUAGGUGGGAGGCUUUGAAGUGUGGACGCCAGUCUGCAUGGAGCCGACCUUGAAAUACCACCCUUUAAUGUUUGAUGUUCUAACGUUGACCCGUAAUCCGGGUUGCGGACAGUGUCUGGUGGGUAGUUUGACUGGGGCGGUCUCCUCCUAAAGAGUAACGGAGGAGCACGAAGGUUGGCUAAUCCUGGUCGGACAUCAGGAGGUUAGUGCAAUGGCAUAAGCCAGCUUGACUGCGAGCGUGACGGCGCGAGCAGGUGCGAAAGCAGGUCAUAGUGAUCCGGUGGUUCUGAAUGGAAGGGCCAUCGCUCAACGGAUAAAAGGUACUCCGGGGAUAACAGGCUGAUACCGCCCAAGAGUUCAUAUCGACGGCGGUGUUUGGCACCUCGAUGUCGGCUCAUCACAUCCUGGGGCUGAAGUAGGUCCCAAGGGUAUGGCUGUUCGCCAUUUAAAGUGGUACGCGAGCUGGGUUUAGAACGUCGUGAGACAGUUCGGUCCCUAUCUGCCGUGGGCGCUGGAGAACUGAGGGGGGCUGCUCCUAGUACGAGAGGACCGGAGUGGACGCAUCACUGGUGUUCGGGUUGUCAUGCCAAUGGCACUGCCCGGUAGCUAAAUGCGGAAGAGAUAAGUGCUGAAAGCAUCUAAGCACGAAACUUGCCCCGAGAUGAGUUCUCCCUGAGACUUUAAGUCUCCUGAAGGAACGUUGAAGACGACGACGUUGAUAGGCCGGGUGUGUAAGCGCAGCGAUGCGUUGAGCUAACCGGUACUAAUGAACCGUGAGGCUUAACCUUACAACGCCGAAG
rnacentral:rRNA from 1 species